UGGGGAAUAUUGCGCAAUGGGCGAAAGCCUGACGCAGCAACGCCGCGUGUGUGAAGAAGGCCCUCGGGUCGUAAAGCACUGUCGAGAGGAACGAGCCGGUCGUAGUCAAUAGCUGCGAUCCCGACGGUACCUCUUGAGGAAGCACCGGCUAACUCCGUGCCAGCAGCCGCGGUAAUACGGAGGGUGCGAGCGUUGUUCGGAAUUAUUGGGCGUAAAGCGCGCGCAGGUGGGUCACUAAGUCUGAUGUGAAAAUCCCUCGGCUCAACCGAGGACGUGCAUUGGAUACUGGUGACCUUGAGUCCUGGAGAGGAGAGCGGAAUUCCCAGUGUAGAGGUGAAAUUCGUAGAUAUUGGGAGGAACACCAGUGGCGAAGGCGGCUCUCUGGACAGUGACUGACGCUGAGGCGCGAAAGCGUGGGUAGCAAACAGGAUUAGAUACCCUGGUAGUCCACGCCGUAAACGAUGGGCACUAGUUGGUGCGGGUAUUGACCCCUGCGCUGACGUAGCCAA
rnacentral:rRNA from 1 species